AUUCAGCUGACGAGUCUCAAAUAGGAUGAAACGCCCGUCCUGAAU
rnacentral:hammerhead_ribozyme from 1 species